rnacentral:rRNA from 1 species
AGCAGCCGCGGUAAUUCCAGCUCCAAUAGCGUAUAUUAAAGUUGUUGCAGUUAAAAAGCUCGUAGUUGAAUUUCGGGGUCAGUAGGUCGGUCGUGCCACUGGUAUGAACUGGUUUUACUGAUUCCUCCCUCUUGAAGAACUGUAAUGCCAUUAAUUUGGUGUUGCAGGGAAUCAGGACUGUUACUUUGAAAAAUUAGAGUGUUUAAAGCAGGCUUUAGCUUGAAUACAUUAGCAUGGAAUAAUGAAAUAGGACGUUUGAUCCUAUUUUGUUGGUUUCUAGGAUUGACGUAAUGAUUAAUAGGGAUAGUUGGGGGCAUUAGUAUUCAAUUGUCAGAGGUGAAAUUCUUGGAUUUAUUGAAGACUAACUACUGCGAAAGCAUUUGCCAAGGGUGUUUUCAUUAAUCAAGAACGACAGUUAGGGGAUCGAAGACGAUCAGAUACCGUCGUAGU